GGGGUUGUGGCUCAGUGGUAGAGCACUCGCCUAGCAUGUGGGAGGCGCUAGGUUCGAUCCUCAGCACCA
rfam:Ictidomys tridecemlineatus contig022168, whole genome shotgun sequence.